rnacentral:rRNA from 1 species
UACGAAGGGGGCUAGCGUUGUUCGGAAUCACUGGGCGUAAAGCGCACGUAGGCGGACAUUUAAGUCAGGGGUGAAAUCCUGGAGCUCAACUCCAGAACUGCCUUUGAUACUGGGUGUCUCGAGUCCGGAAGAGGUAAGUGGAACUGCGAGUGUAGAGGUGAAAUUCGUAGAUAUUCGCAAGAACACCAGUGGCGAAGGCGGCUUACUGGUCCGGUACUGACGCUGAGGUGCGAAAGCGUGGGGAGCAAACAGG